UAAUACAGAGGGUGCGAGCGUUAAUCGGAAUUACUGGGCGUAAAGCGCACGUAGGCGGCUUGGUAUGUCGGGUGUGAAAUCCCCGGGCUCAACCUGGGAACUGCAUCCGAAACUGCCUUGCUCGAGUAUGGGAGAGGGAAGUGGAAUUUCCGGUGUAGCGGUGAAAUGCGUAGAUAUCGGAAGGAACAUCAGUGGCGAAGGCGACUUCCUGGACCAAUACUGACGCUCAGGUGCGAAAGCGUGGGGAGCAAACAGGAUUAGAUACCCUGGUAGUCCACGCCCUAAACGAUGAGAACUGG
rnacentral:rRNA from 1 species